CAGCCAGUGCCAAGUCGAAGGUCUGAUCCAGAGGAGGUUUAAAUUUAAUCAGAACGAACAAUUAGUUAAUACGGGAAUCUCUUAGGAGAAAAAAGAAGCAUUAUUCCAGAUUAAAUCAUCAUAAUUUUUUUUAAGGCUAAGAACAGAAACCUAAAUAUACAAAAACAGCAACGUAUCAAGAAAAUUGCUAUGGGAACACCCUCUCGCUCCUUGCUUAAGGAAACACAAGUGUUUGUACACUAACCUCCUAAGGACUGAUUUUAUUCGAGUGAGUAGAAGUGGUUUUAGCAAGAUCUAGAAAAUAUUCUGAAUUCCAUUAGAACAUAUUCAUAGGAAGUAUCAAUGUGUCUACUGUGCCAUCCGUGUGUAUUUACUUCGUCCAAAUUAAGUAACGGAGAGCAACUACAGAGCUCCACAAACUCAUUAUACAGCUCUAGUGAGUUUGAAACUUCAAAAAAUAGGACUGUUAAAAAUCAUGUGUGGAACCAAAGGCUUAUUUUGCGUGAUGUUUAUGUUUUUGGACUUUGGAAAUUCUUGUGCAUCGACAUCUAUUUUUUUGUUGUUAUUUCUUACUUUAUUGCUUCCUGGGGGGGGGGGACUCUUUAUAGAGGAAAUUCAAAUGAGUCAGCCGACCAAAAAUAAAAAUAAAAAUAAAAUGAGUCAACCAACCAAGUGAUAACAGAAUACCCAAACCAAUAAUUUAGAAGCAUCUAGUAAGUUAGAAUUGAGCUUCUAAAUUUUGGUGAUGAAAAGCUUAGUGAAAAUUAAAAAUCAGCUGUGAGAUGAGACAUUUAUUUUCUUACCUGUAAAAAUGCUGCCUAUUCUCAAAUUGCUGUGCUUGCUUCCCACCCCAUUCCUAUCACUAAAAGACCAUCUUUAAGUCCCACCCCUACCCAAACCUGGUAUCACGCCAAACCACACCGUGUUUGGGUAAAAGCACCCAAAAUGCUGCUAGAAAGCUACCUCGUGUUAAGAAAACAUUGACUUCGAGAAAUUCCUAAGCAACCACAGUUCUUUGACUUUUUAAUGAUGGAUGGAAAUCACACUAUAGCUAUGUCUUGACAAUAGUUACUCAGGAAAUUAGUUUUAGUUUUACUUAAAAGUUUAAAAGAAAAAAUACAAAAAAAAAAA
rnacentral:lncRNA from 1 species